GUCUACGGCCAUGCCCCCACCCCCAACAAGCCCGAUCCCAUCUGAUCUCGGGAGCUAACCAGGGUGGGGCCUGGUUAGUAUCUGGAUGGGAUGAGACACGCUAGGAAGACCAGGUGCUGUAGGUA
rnacentral:rRNA from 1 species